rnacentral:rRNA from 1 species
UGGGGAAUAUUGGACAAUGGACCAAGAGUCUGAUCCAGCAAUUCUGUGUGCACGAUGACGUUUUUCGGAAUGUAAAGUGCUUUCAGUUGGGAAGAAGAAAAUGACGGUACCAACAGAAGAAGUGACGGCUAAAUACGUGCCAGCAGCCGCGGUAAUACGUAUGUCACGAGCGUUAUCCGGAUUUAUUGGGCGUAAAGCGCGUCUAGGUGGUUAUGUAAGUCUGAUGUGAAAAUGCAGGGCUCAACUCUGUAUUGCGUUGGAAACUGUGUAACUAGAGUACUGGAGAGGUAAGCGGAACUACAAGUGUAGAGGUGAAAUUCGUAGAUAUUUGUAGGAAUGCCGAUGGGGAAGCCAGCUUACUGGACAGAUACUGACGCUGAAGCGCGAAAGCGUGGGUAGCAAACAGGAUUAGAUACCCUGGUAGUCCACGCCGUAAACGAUGAUUACUAGGUGUUGGGGGUCGAACCUCAGCGCCCAAGCAAACGCGAUAAGUAAUCCGCCUGGGGAGUACGUACGCAAGUAUG